AGGAUGGUAUGAAAAACAAUCUCCCACCAGGAAAAAGGGCUUCAAAGAAAACUAUAGAGGUCGUUAUUGGGGCUAAAGGGAAGAAAGACAACAAUGGUAACAAAGAGGAAUACUGGAAAGGAAAGCAUCAAUACAUUAUUGUUGGACAGAUGACUCCAGAAACCAGGGGGAGAAUUGUGUGGUUUUGAAAUUUGAUGUCCAAUUAAAAAAUAUUUGAGAAAAUUGAUUCUUUAAAACAAUUUUGUAAAACUUACACAAAGUAGGUAGCAUAAUGAAUAAAGAACACAAUGUAUAAUUUCUUCCAAAAAAUAUGAUUUGCUUCUAAAGGGACACGAUUGUCUUGUAUUUGGAAACUGACAAGUUAACAUGCACAGAGUAACUCAUGUGUUGUUCUAAUGAAGCAACCACAAGCAUCUUUGCUUACACCAAC
rnacentral:lncRNA from 1 species